rnacentral:piRNA from 1 species
UGCAUGUCUCACAUCCGAUUGGUUAUACUC